CCUACGGGUGGCAGCAGUGAGGAAUAUUGGUCAAUGGGCGCGAGCCUGAACCAGCCAAGUCGCGUGAAGGAUGACUGCCCUCCGGGUUGUAAACUUCUUUUAUAAAGAAAUAAAGUGAGGCACGUGUGCCUUUUUGUAUGUACUUUAUGCAUAAGGAUCGGCUAACUCCGUGCCAGCAGCCGCGGUAAUACGGAGGAUCCGAGCGUUAUCCGGUAUUAUUGGGUUUAAAGGGAGCGUAGUUGGGUUGUUAAGUCAGUUGUGAAAGUUUGCGGCUCAACCGUAAAACUGCAAUUGAUACUGGCAGUCUUGAGUACAGUUGAGGUAGGCGGAAUUCGUGGUGUAGCGGUGAAAUGCUUAGAGAUCACGAAGAACUCCGAUUGCGAAGGCAGCUUACUAAACUGCCACUGACAUUGAUGCUCGAAAGUGUGGGUAGCAAACAGGAUUAGAUACCCCAGUAGUC
rnacentral:rRNA from 1 species